CUCAGCCCGCCGAGCUCGGCCCCCGCCGCUCCGACAGGUGUUGAGAAUCAACCCAGGUUCACUGGAAGAGCAGCUAGUGACCCUAACCACUGAGCUAUCUCUCCAGCCCUGCUUUCUCAGACUGAUCAGAAUACAAAGGAAAAAGAGAAGUUUCAAAUGGACCAAGAGGAUGUAGUGGGUAGCCAUUCCAGCUUUGAUCUGGAAGUUCCAACCCCCAUUCAGGCUUUGGUAACUGUCACGCCUACAAGGGGGGGGGCCCAGAGAGGACCCUGAAGCCCCAAGAUCCGGAUGUGCCUCUUCUCUUGGUUCCUGGACCCUGGUCGCUGGAGGUAGACUGAGCAGAGUUCUCCAGAGAACACCACUGGACUGCGCUACAUCUUUGCCAGACCCUGCAACCUACCUAUCCCUUCAUUUGUAAGUUACGUCACUAAAUAAACCUUCCUUUUAACUACGCAGCGUGGCCUUAAUAAUUUCACCAAUAGGAGGAACCACAUGUUAAAGAGCAGCAACCGCAAACACCAGCAGACCUACAUUUCUACU